UACAGAGGUCCCAAGCGUUGUUCGGAUUCACUGGGCGUAAAGGGUGCGUAGGUGGUGGGGUAAGUCGGAUGUGAAAUCUCCGAGCUCAACUCGGAAAUGGCAUUGGAAACUACCCUGCUAGAGGGUCGGAGGGGGACUGGAAUGCUUGGUGUAGCAGUGAAAUGCGUAGAUAUCAAGCGGAACACCAGUGGCGAAGGCGAGUCCCU
rnacentral:rRNA from 1 species